UGAAGGUGUAAACAAACCAUACGUUGCCAUUUAAUGUUUUGGUGAAUCUGUGAAUGUUACUUCCGUGUUUGAUUCUUGGGCUUGACGUUUAAUGGGCAAUGUUUCUGUGACUCUGUCAGUGUUACUUCUGUGUUUGAUUCUUAAGUUCGGCGUUCAAUAGACGGCUGCUUCGUUACGUUCAAGGUAUACGUUGCUUGAGUCAGGCUCAGGCCCCUGUUUUGAGUGUCAUAUAUUUUAUGGUGCGUGGGAACUGACGAGUUGUGUCUUAAGAUGGGACAUUCAAGGAAAUUGUAGACGGAUCUGGCGACUACAAGAACCGAGAAUCCGUAGCAUAACGCAACCUUAUUUGGGUUUUGAUGUUCGGUCUACAUCUGCUGAUUACUCCAAUACUAAGGUGAGGCUCUUGAAUUCAAGCCUUCAUUUUGAAGUUAUGUUAGCCCUUGAACUACUAAAGUGGAAAAGUAAAUGCUCGGGUCUUCAGGUUUGGACCAAUGAAAAUAUAGACUAAGAAGCUAAGGUGAGGCUUCGAGGGGCUGCUUUUCUAAACUCUCUAUUAAUGUUUUCUCAGUCCACCCUUUCAGGGGCGGUGCCCCUUCAGGGAUGGGGGACCCUCCCAUACUCUAGACUGUGGGACUAGCGAUCUACAGGCUGGUUCUUGGGAGAUUUCAAACAAUGCAAACUCUUCAAUAAGGGUGUUAAUGUGGUAGUCAUUUUAAUGUUAAUUCAGCUAUUUUAGUUUCCAGUUUAACUUUUCUUAAUUACUUGAUUUGGCUUGCAUAAUGUUUAAAAUCUUUUGAAUCAUUUCACUUAAAUUUCUAAUUCUGAUAAAAGCUAACUUAUCAAAAUGUUUCACAUACUUAGGUCCAGCAGUAAUUUAAUGUGAAGGAACAAGAAUCGGUUCACCAUAAUGUAUUUUGAUUUGCUUCAUUCAUUUGACCAAAGAUUUUUAUUUUUUAAUCUGAGAAUAGGUAUGUAACUUAAUCUGUUUAACGUUACUAAAUAAACUCAAAUACUCGGUGUUGAUACAAUUAACAAACUUCUACCAGUAAAAGUUUGUUUUAUUCCGGCAGAUGAAUAUCUGCCGUAGAUCUUCAGUAUGGUGACAGAUCCAACUAUCCCAUAAUUUUAGUAGCACUGACUACUAGUCAGUCUCCUACCAGUCUCUUAGGCUUGUCGUCUUGACUUGGCAUUUGUUCACUACUCCUGGCCACUAUUUGUUAGGAUUCGACUCUUAACCACGUUACUUGUUGGCUGUCCUUUUACCAUUGGCGUUUGUCUGCUUCCUGGUUAGUAUUUGUUAGGCACUCCUAGCUACUUGACCUGUCGGCAUAAUGUUAAUCUUGCUAGUAUUUUUACUGGUAUCUUCCAACUUGACUUGCUGUCAUUUAACUUGGUACCCUUGAGAACUUUACUUCCUUUGAUGAAUUAAACCUGGCAACUCAACCUAAGGGCAUUUGAUCGGUGGUUUGUGCCAGUUUUGUUUCGUGGGCCUGGUGAAAUUGUAUUUAGUAAAUUGUAGGUUAAAGGUUUUGGAUCUUGGAUCUAUCUUUAGAAUGGUUGCAUAGUACACUUGAAUGGGUAACCCAUUACUAAUUGCAUUAUCUGGAUGUUGACAGUAAAGAGGUUUUCCUGUUGCAGGUCUUUGAUUAUUAAAGAUUUUUAAGAUUGUGGUAACAGGAGGAGUUCAUGACGACAAGAUAGUCUCUCCAAUCAAGGUCAAGGAUUGCUGUUAUGGUUUUUAAGCUUAUAGAAUCAUUAUCGAUUCCCAUUGUAUAUAAAUGUUAAAUUAAUUUACCCAGUAAAAAGGAAGUGAU